AUUGAACGCUGGCGGCAGGCCUAACACAUGCAAGUCGAACGAGUGGCGGACGGGUGAGUAAUGUCUGGGAAACUGCCUUAUGGAGGGGGAUAACUACUGGAAACGGUAGCUAAUACCGCAUCCCAUCGGAUGUGCCCAGAUGGGAUUAGCUAGUAGGUGGGGUAAAGGCUCACCUAGGCGACGAUCCCUAGCUGGUCUGAGAGGAUGACGAGCCACACGGGAACGGGGACACGGGCCAGAAUCCUACGGGAGGCAGCAGUGGGGAAUAUUGCACAAUGGGCGCAAGCCUGAUGCAGCCAUGGCGCGUGUAUGAAGAAGGCCUACGGGUUGUAAAGUACGUUCAGCGGGGAGGCGUUACCCGCAGAAGAAGCACCGGCUAACUCCGUGCCAGCAGCCGCGGUAAUUC
rnacentral:rRNA from 1 species